UACGUAGGGUGCGAGCGUUGUCCGGAAUUAUUGGGCGUAAAGGGCUCGUAGGCGGUUUGUUACGUCGGGAGUGAAAACCCAGGGCUCAACCCUGGGCCUGCUUCCGAUACGGGCAGACUAGAGGUAUGCAGGGGAGAAUGGAAUUCCUGGUGUAGCGGUGAGAUGCGCAGAUAUCAGGAGGAACACCGGUGGCGAAGGCGGUUCUCUGGGCAUUACCUGACGCUGAGGAGCGAAAGUGUGGGGAGCGAACAGG
rnacentral:rRNA from 1 species